GUGAAUCAUCGAAUUUUUGAACGCAAAUUGCACUUUCUGGUAUUCCGGAAAGUAUGCCUGUUUGAGGGUCAGUUAAAUAAAAAUCGGUGUUUUUUCUGCUUUUCGUGUUUACGCGUCGGAAUUGAGUUGUCUUACCCUCGGUUAAGUGACUUAAAAUUUUGCAUGAUUUUCGAACGUAUUUAAAUUUCUUACGUACGUUUGAGAUAUCGAAUACUUUCUUCGUUUCGUUCAUCCUCAUUCUUCGCCCCUAUCAUUUUUCAUUAACUGUCCUCAAAUCAGGUAAGAAUACCCGCUGACC
rnacentral:misc_RNA from 1 species